rnacentral:rRNA from 1 species
AGUGAACGCUGGCGGUAGGCCUAACACAUGCAAGUCGAACGGCAGCACAGUAAGAGCUUGCUCUUACGGGUGGCGAGUGGCGGACGGGUGAGGAAUACAUCGGAAUCUACUUUUUCGUGGGGGAUAACGUAGGGAAACUUACGCUAAUACCGCAUACGACCUACGGGUGAAAGCAGGGGAUCUUCGGACCUUGCGCGAUUGAAUGAGCCGAUGUCGGAUUAGCUAGUUGGCGGGGUAAAGGCCCACCAAGGCGACGAUCCGUAGCUGGUCUGAGAGGAUGAUCAGCCACACUGGAACUGAGACACGGUCCAGACUCCUACGGGAGGCAGCAGUGGGGAAUAUUGGACAAUGGGCGCAAGCCUGAUCCAGCCAUACCGCGUGAGUGAAGAAGGCCUUCGGGUUGUAAAGCCCUUUUGUUGGGAAAGAAAAGCAGCAGGUUAAUACCCCGCUGUUCUGACGGUACCCAAAGAAUAAGCACCGGCUAACUUCUUG